rnacentral:rRNA from 1 species
CAGCCGCCACGGGAAUACGUAGGGUGCAAGCGUUAAUCGGAAUUACUGGGCGUAAAGCGUGCGUAGGCGGUGAGUUAAGUCUGCUGUGAAAUCCCCGGGCUCAACCUGGGAAUGGCAGUGGAUACUGGCUCGCUAGAGUGUGUCAGAGGAUGGUGGAAUUCCCGGUGUAGCGGUGAAAUGCGUAGAGAUCGGGAGGAACAUCAGUGGCGAAGGCGGCCAUCUGGGACAACACUGACGCUGAGGCACGAAAGCUAGGGGAGCAAACAGGAUUAGAUACCCCCGUAGUCCCUGUCUCUUAUAC